rnacentral:rRNA from 1 species
UACAGAGGGUGCAAGCGUUGUUCGGAAUUAUUGGGCGUAAAGCGCGUGUAGGCGGCUUUGCAAGUCGGAUGUGAAAGCCCUCGGCUCACCCGAGGAAGUGCGUUCGAAACUGCAGAGCUUGAGUACCGGAGAGGGUGGCGGAAUUCCCCAAGUAGAGGUGAAAUUCGUAGAUAUGGGGAGGAACACCGGUGGCGAAGGCGGCUCACUGGACCGGUACUGACGCUGAUGCGCGAAAGCGUGGGGAGCAAACAGG